UGGAAAGCAGCUCUGACAGCCGCGGCGCUCUCCUCCUGAAACCCGGUAGCCCCCUCUCAUCCCUCCUCCCUUUUUGCCCUAAAACUUGGCUUUCUCCUCUCUUUUUUUGUCGCAAACUCAGGCUCGGGGUGGGGGGACAUGGGGGACACCGUGGGACAGGAUGCAGGUGACAUCUAGUGGGACUGGGCAGCAGUGCCGUCACCACCGCUCUGUCCCCAAAGGGUCUUGGGUGGCCCCCAAAAGCAGAGCCACCUGAGCGAGCCCGAAACCAAGGAGCAAAGAGGACACGGCGUUGGUGGUCCACAGGGUUCAUGCUGCCUUAAUUUCUUGAGUUUGCUAAUCCUUCGCUGUAAAUGGUGAGAUUAAGGGGGAGAGCGCUCAACCGCACAAAGCCGAGCAAAACCUAAGCACGUCGGUGGCCAGCGAGCCCGGGGAGGCUAGCCCACAUCCGCCCAGCCGGCCAGCUCCAGCACCCGCGACGCCGGCACGGUGCGAGGGAGAUGCCUGCUGAUGGCUGCGUUUCUGGAGGAGAAAGAAAAACCCCAAAGGCCUGACAACGGAAAAGGGCCGCGGCCGGGACGGCGUGAGAGGUGUCGCCUACCCUGUGAUCGCAGACGCCGGCCAAAAGCCAAAGCGCAACCCGCGCUGCAGAAACACCCCGAGGCCGACUCCGCAUCUGCCUCCCCUCCCGGCUGCUCGUUCCGCUUCGAGGGCGUC
rnacentral:lncRNA from 1 species